AAAAUGAAGACUUGAAGGGUGUACGGAGGUUUCAGGGCGGAGUAGAGUCCGGAGAGAGGCGUAGCAACGGCGGUGGGGCGGUGGCAGGCGAGCAGGGUCGUUCGCGCGGUGCAGUGAGAUGGGGAUGAGAAUCAAACGCCGGUUUUUUGGAGACGCUUUUUGUGGAGCUUUUUUCUGUGGGCUUAUCAGGUGUACAAAAACGGUUCUAUUUUAA
rnacentral:lncRNA from 1 species